rnacentral:misc_RNA from 1 species
UACGGAGGGAGCGAGCGUUGUUCGGAAUUACUGGGCGUAAAGGGCGCGCAGGCGGCCCGUUAAGUCCGAUGUGAAAUCCCUCGGCUCAACCGAGGAGGUGCAUUGGAUACUAGCAGGCUAGAGUGCGGGAGGGGAGAGCGGAAUUCCCGGUGUAGCGGUGAAAUGCGUAGAUAUCGGGAGGAACAUCGGUGGCGAAGGCGGCUCUCUGGACCGUUACUGACGCCGAGGCGCGAAAGCGUGGGGAGCGAGCGGG